rnacentral:lncRNA from 1 species
AUGGACAGAGACAUACAAAACAUGGGCAGGGCAAGCCGGGGAGAGGGGAGGAGGGAAGGCGAAGGCAACACCAAUGGACACUCAUCAGGGGCUGGACAUGAAAAAGAGACCAGGACAAGCCAAUGGACAGUGAUCGCAGGGGGGAGAGGGGAGGGGGCGCGGCGGGAGGGGGUGCGCCGGGCGCCGGGCGCACGCUGCCGGCGGGAGCCGGGGGGAGCCGGGGGGCGCCGGGGGCCGGGGCCGGGGGGCGGCCGGGGCCGCGGGGCGGCUGCGGGAGGGGAAGGGGGAGAGGGGCGGCGAGGGGCCGGAGCGGGCGCGCGGGGAAAGAGGAGGCAGGAAAGGGAGCAAGAGGGGAAAGAAAAAGCGAGCGAGCCGAGGCAGCGGCAGCGCACACGCUCCCACCCCCGCUGGAAAAGCAAACACAUCAGGGAAGGCACACGGGGAGGGCGGCGGGGCAGGCUAGCCUCGGGAUGCGCCGAGGAGGUGGGAAGGCAGGUAGGAGCGGAGACCACCCAAAAAGGAAGGGGGGGCCCAGCCGGCUCCCGGCUUCCCCGUUCGCCCCCCCCCCACCCCCCCGAGCCGCCGAGUCCCCUCCUCCCGGGAGCCGGGGCCCGGCCCCGAGGGACGGCGGCGGCGAGGAGCCGGGGGGCGCCGGGGGCUGGGGACGGCGGCAAACUUCGGCGGGGAGCGGCGGGCCGGGAAGCCGGGAGGACUUUGGGAGCGAGGAAGAGCGGGCGGAGGAGCGGCGGGAGCGGGGCAGGGGGCGGCAGGGGCCGGGACCCCCCGGAGCCCCCCGACGGCGCCCCGUACCCUGCCCGCCGGCAGAGCGGCGAGCGAAAGCGAAAGGCGCGGCGGGGCACAGCCGGAGGCGGCGAGGAGCGGCCGGAGUCGGGAGGAUGCGGCGGCCGCAACUUCGCCCAAAGCGCGCCCGCACCGCCCGGGGCCGGGCCCGCAGCAGGAGCCGCUCCGGAGCCAGCCGUGCCCGCGCUCGAGGCCCGGGGCCGGCCGCCCGCAGGAGCGAGGUGGGCGCGGGGCGGCGAGGAGGGGCCGGGGGCCGGCGGCAGGGGCGCGCCGGGACCUGUUGGAGCCGGGCCGGGGGGGCCCCGCUCCACGCCGGGACCGUCCUCCCGCGGCGCCGCCGCCCCCCGGCUGCCCCGAGGCCGGUGCGGGGCCGGGAGCCGCGCUCAGCCCGCAGCCCCGGCCGGGCACCGCGGGGCCGGGGGCGGCCGGGCAGCGCCUGCCGGGCGCCGCGUUUCGGGGGGAAGCGGCUCCAGGUGGCAGCGGGCGAGCGCUCCGGGCUCCGAGGCUCCACGCGCUGUCGUGGGGCUCGGCUGUCGGAGCUACGCGGACGUGUGCUGUGCGCGAAACGUGUGUAAACAGGCGUGCGGGACUGUGGAGAGAUCCGUGCGAUUUGAUUUAUCUGUAAUAGCACGUAUAAAGCUUUUCAAGGUGGCUGCAAUGUAA